CGUUGGUUUUAACCGGCUGGCGUCAGUGGGCUGGCGAGUUUACUUUGAACAAAUCAGAGUGCUUCAAACAGGCGUCUCGCCUGAAUGUUCGUGCAUGGAAUAAUAGAAGAGGAUCACGGUCCGAUUUUAUUGGUUUUGCUGACCGAGAUAAUGGUUAACAGAGACAAACGGGGCCAUUCGUAUUGCUACGUGAGAGGUGAAAUUCUUGGACCGUAGCAAGACGGACUACAGCGAAAGCAUUUGGCAAGAAUGUCUUCAUUAAUCAAGAACGAAAGUCAGAGGUUCGAAGGCGAUCAGAUACCGCCCUAGUUCUGACCGUAAACGAUGCCAACUAGCGAUCCGCCGGCGGAUUCAUUCGCCCUGGUGGGGAGCUUCCCGGAAACGAAAGUCUUCCGGUUCCGGGGGAAGUAUGGUUGCAAAGCUGAAACUUAAAGGAAUUGACGGAAGGGCACCACCAGGAGUGGAGCCUGCGGCUUAAUUUGACUCAACACGGGGAAACUCACCCGGCCCGGACACCGUAAGGAUUGACAGAUUGAUAGCUUUUUCAUGAUUCGGUGGAUGGUGGUGCAUGGCCGUUCUUAGUUCGUGGAGCGAUUUGUCUGGUUUAUUCCGAUAACGAGCGAGACUCUGGCCUACUAAAUAGUUGGCACAUUGCCACUGUGUGCCCAACUUCUUAGAGGGAUUUUCGGUGUUCAGCCGCACGAAAUUGAGCAAUAACAGGUCUGUGAUGCCCUUAGAUGUCCGGGGCUGCACGCGCGCUACACUGGCAAAAUCAGCGUGCUUGUCCUCCCCCGAAAGGGGUUGGUAAACCGAUGAAAAUUUGCCGUGAUUGGGAUCGGACAUUGCAAUUAUUGUCCGUGAACGAGGAAUCCCUUGUAAGGGCGAGUCAUCAACUCGUCCUGAAUACGUCCCUGCCCUUUGUACACACCGCCCGUCGCUGCCCGGGACUGAGCCAUUUCGAGAAAACCGGGGAUUGUUGGCCUGACGGCUCUCGGGUCGUCUAGCCGAUGAGAACCGGCUUAAUCGCACUGGUUUGAACCGGGCAAAAGUCGUAACAAGGUAGCUGUAGGUGAACCUGCUGCUG
rnacentral:rRNA from 1 species